rnacentral:rRNA from 1 species
AUUGAACGCUGGCGGCAUGCCUUACACAUGCAAGUCGAACGGUAACGGGCCUUCGGGUGCCGACGAGUGGCGAACGGGUGAGUAAUGUAUCGGAACGUACCUUUCAGUGGGGGAUAACGUAGCGAAAGUUACGCUAAUACCGCAUAUUCUGUGAGCAGGAAAGCAGGGGAUCGCAAGACCUUGCGCUGAUUGAGCGGCCGAUAUCAGAUUAGCUAGUUGGUGAGGUAAAGGCUCACCAAGGCGACGAUCUGUAGCGGGUCUGAGAGGAUGAUCCGCCACACUGGAACUGAGACACGGUCCAGACUCCUACGGGAGGCAGCAGUGGGGAAUAUUAGAAAUGGGCGGAAGCCUGAUCUAGCAACACCGCGUGUGCGAUGAAGGCCUUCGGGUCGUAAAGCACUUUUUGGAGGGAAUAGGAAGAAGGUACCUCCAGAAUAAGUCUCGGCUAACUACGUG